AGUCAUCACCGCCCUUGUAAAUCCAAUUAUAUAUAUUCCAUUCUCUCUCAUUUCUGUUUGGUUAGCGAGAAAUCUCAGAGAGAGGAAAAAAAAAAAAAAAAAAAAAAACCCCGGAAUAUAGUGUCUUAGAUUUCGCUCAUCUUAAAAAGAAACCCACCUCCAAAUUUCCGGUCGGGUUCGAGAAUUCGGCUUUCUUACGGCUCUCUGUACACACAGCCAAGGCUGAGGCCAACAAAAGCAACCCUUUUUCACAAGGCUUGGAUCAAGUUCAAGCGGAGUUUGAACAUGCUAUCUUUAUUAUCAAACCGAGCUCAACCAUUCUAUACUUGGCUUGAGUUGAUUACAGCCCUCCUAGUUGAAGUCCUAUGUAUGUUUCUCUUUUUUUCCAAUGUUUUCUCAAGUACCUUUUUUUUUUUUUUUUUUUUUUUUUUUUUUUUUUUUUUUGAUAGGUAAUAGAUAUUUUCAUUAAAAAAAGUACAUCAUUUUCACGAUGAUGAACAGAUUAUACUAGAAACAAAUACAAACAAAUCAAACAGAAACAGAAUGCACAAUCAAGACCUUUUAAAUUUAAAGUUGUGCACUUUGUACUUGAAGAUUUUCAUCUUGGAUUAUUAUUUGUUUGGCAUUGUAUUAGAAUGUCCUGCAAUCAAAAAGUAAAAUUGUUUGACUUGGAAUUCUUUAUUUGUUUAUUGUUGAAAGGAAUUAUCGAUGUUGAACUUAUAUAUUGGGUUUGUAUGAUCGGUUUGCUGUAUUGGGGUCUUAGAGAUUGUUUUGAUUCAGUGAUUAUCUCAAAUAAGAGCAAGGGGUUUCUUAUAUUAUUAUUGCAUUGGAAUAAAAGGUGACCUGUAAUGUUUUGAGUGGUUACACAGAGAUGUGAGUUUAGUUUAUCAUAUAAAAUUGCCACCUAGCCUCAAUUACCACUAGGUAUUUUUGAUGACUACAUUCAUGUAAUCUAGCGCUGUUGAGUAUUAUUAUGAAGCCGAGCUUGGAAAUUCACUACUCGGCUUGAUUUGAUUAGGAAUAGUUGAAGGUCUACAUAUAUUUCUAUCGUUUUUCUCAAUGUUUUCUCAGCAACCAAAUGCAGUAUAACCAAGACAUUUUAAAUUUUAGGUUUUGUUCUUUGUGCGAGAAUAUUUUCAUCUUUUUUCAUUGUUUAUGUUUUGUUGUUUGUUUGGUAAUGUAUCAGGAUGUUUUGUAAUAAAAAAGUAAAGCUGUAUCACUCUGAAUUUGCUGUUUAUUUAUUUUAAAAUGGGUUAUUGGUGGUGAGCUUAUGUAUUGGGUUAAUUGUGUGAUUGGUUU